rnacentral:rRNA from 1 species
ACGGAAUAGAUACCCGGGUAGUCCAUGCCGUAAACUAUGGAUACUAGCUGUUGGGGGUAUCGACCCCUCCAGUAGCGAAAGCUAAACGCGUUAAGUAUCCCGCCUGUGGAGUACGAUCGCAAGAUUAAAACAUAAAGGAAUUGACGGGGACCCGCACAAGCGGUGGAGCGUGUUCUUUAAUUCGAUGCUAAACGAAGAACCUUACCAGGGCUUGACAUCCCUUGAAUUACUCCGAAAGGAGUGAGUGCUUUAUUGAGCAAGGUGACAGGUGAUGCAUGGCCGUCGUCAGCUCGUGUCGUGAGAUGUUUGGUUAAGUCCAUCAACGAGCGCAACCCUUAUACUUAGUUGUAUUUUUCUAGGUAGACUGCCCCGGUAACGGGGAGGAAGGGGGGUA